rnacentral:rRNA from 1 species
AGGAUUGUAUGGUCAAGUAAUGAAGUGCACAUGGUGGAUGCCUUGGCAGUCAGAGGCGAAGAAAGACGUGACAGCCUGCGAUAAGCGUCGGUGAGGUGGCAAUAUCCUGUGACCCGGCGAUUUCUGAAUGGGGAAACCCAACCAACACAAGUUGGUUAUUACACAGUUUACUGUGUAAGGCAAACCGGGAGAAGUGAAACAUCUCAGUACCCCGAGGAAAAGACAUCAAAAGAGAUUCCCCAAGUAGCGGCGAGCGAACGGGGAGGAGCCGAUCAAUUUUACAGUAGCAAAAUGGCAUGGGAAAGCCAACCAUAGUAGGUGAUAGUCCUGUAUGCGAAACUGUUUAAGCGACAUAUCAAGUAGGGCGGAACACGAGAAAUUCUGUCUGAAGAUGGGGGGACCAUCCUCCAAGGCUAAAUACUCCUGACUGACCGAUAGUGAACCAGUACCGUGAGGGAAAGGCGAAAAGAACCCCUGUUAGGGGAGUGAAAUAGAACCUGAAACCGUGUGCAUACAAGCAGUCGGAGCCCGACCACUUAAUCGUUUUGAGGAUAACAAUGAAUUUUUACUACGUCUAUGUCAUACAAAACAUGGAUAAUCAUGAUGAGUUUUAUGUUGGUUUUACCACCAAUUUAAAACAAAGAAUUGAUGACCAUAAUAAUGGCACAACUUACUCAACCAGAGCAAGAACAUGGCGUAUUGUUUAUUGUGAAGCCUACAUUAACGAACAAGUGGCAAGAAAGCGAGAGCGAACCAUAAAAAAUAAUGGUCGUAUGAGAACUUUCUUGAUGAAUCGUAUCAAAUCACAAUUUGACAAUCAGAACGAUUAAGUGGUCGGGUGACGGCGUACCUUUUGUAUAAUGGGUCAGCGACUUAUAUUCUGUAGCAAGGUUAACCGAAUAGGGGAGCCGUAGGGAAACCGAGUCUUAAAAGGGCGAAUGAGUUGCAGGGUAUAGACCCGAAACCGAGUGAUCUAUCCAUGAGCAGGUUGAAAGUGCCGUAACAGGCAUCGGAGGACCGAACCCACUGUCGUUGAAAAGCCAGGGGAUGACUUGUGGAUAGGGGUGAAAGGCUAAUCAAACUCGGUGAUAGCUGGUUCUCCCCGAAAGCUAUUUAGGUAGCGCCUCGGACGAACACCAUUGGGGGUAGAGCACUGUUUCGGCUAGGGGGUCACACCGACUUACCAAACCGAGGCAAACUGACGAAUACCGAUGAGUGAUAUCCGGGAGACACACGGCGGGUGCUAACGUCCGUCGUGGAAAGGGAAACAACCCAGACCGCCAGCUAAGGCCCCAAAUUCCUAGUUAAGUGGGAAACGAGGUGGGAAGGCACAGACAGCUAGGAGGUUGGCUUAGAAGCAGCCACCCUUUAAAGAAAGCGUAAUAGCUCACUAGUCGAGUCGGCCUGCGCGGAAGAUGUAACGGGGCUCAAACUAGGAGCCGAAGCUGCGGAUUUAAUUGUUUCAAUUAAGUGGUAGGGGAGCGUUGUGUAAGCCUGAGAAGGUGCACUGUAAGGUGUGCUGGAGGUAUCACAAGAGCGAAUGCUGACGUGAGUAACGACAAAACGGGUGAAAAGCCCGUUCGCCGGAAGACCAAGGGUUCCAGUCCAACGUUAAUCGGGGCUGGGUGAGUCGACCCCUAAGGCGAGGCCGAAAGGCGUAGUCGAUGGGAAAUCGGUUAAUAUUCCGAUACUUGUUUAUGAUGUGAUGGAGGGACGGAGAAGGUUAUGCCAGCCUGGCGAUGGUAGUCCAGGUGGAAGGAUGUAGGUAGGUUUGGUAGGCAAAUCCGCCAAACUAAUACUGAGAUCUGAUAGCAAGCGGUACAUGUACCGUGAAGUGGCAAAUACCCUGCUUCCAGGAAAAGCUUCUAAACGAUGGUCAUAAACGAAUCGUACCCGAAACCGACACAGGUGGUCAGGUAGAGAAUACCAAGGCGCUUGAGAGAACUCUGCUGAAGGAACUAGGCAAAAUGGUACCGUAACUUCGGGAGAAGGUACGCUGCCGAUGGUGAUAAGACUUGCUCUUUGAGCUGUUGGCAGUCGCAGAUACCAGGUGGCUGCAACUGUUUAUUAAAAACACAGCACUCUGCAAACACGAAAGUGGACGUAUAGGGUGUGAUGCCUGCCCGGUGCUGGAAGGUUAAAUGAUGGGGUUAGCGUAAGCGAAGCUCUUGAUUGAAGCCCCAGUAAACGGCGGCCGUAACUAUAACGGUCCUAAGGUAGCGAAAUUCCUUGUCGGGUAAGUUCCGACCUGCACGAAUGGCAUAAUGAUGGCCACGCUGUCUCCAGCAGAGACUCAGUGAAAUCGAAAUCGCAGUGAAGAUGCUGUGUACCCGCGGCUAGACGGAAAGACCCCGUGAACCUUUACUACAGCUUUACAUUGAACUUUGACCUGACUUGUGCAGGAUAGGUGGGAGGCUAUGAAGCAGAUACGCCAGUAUUUGUGGAGUCAACCUUGAAAUACCACCCUGGUCAUGUUGGGGUUCUAACUUAGAUAUUCACAAUAUCGAGGACAAUGUAUGGUGGGUAGUUUGACUGGGGCGGUCUCCUCCUAAAGAGUAACGGAGGAGUACGAAGGUGCGCUCAGAACGGUCGGAAAUCGUUCAAAGAGUAUAAAGGCAAAAGCGCGCUUAACUGCGAGACCCACAAGUCGAGCAGGUACGAAAGUAGGUCUUAGUGAUCCGGUGGUUCUGUAUGGAAGGGCCAUCGCUCAACGGAUAAAAGGUACUCUGGGGAUAACAGGCUGAUACCGCCCAAGAGUUCAUAUCGACGGCGGUGUUUGGCACCUCGAUGUCGGCUCAUCUCAUCCUGGGGCUGAAGCAGGUCCCAAGGGUAUGGCUGUUCGCCAUUUAAAGAGGUACGCGAGCUGGGUUUAGAACGUCGUGAGACAGUUCGGUCCCUAUCUACCGUGGGCGUUGGAAAUUUGAGAGGAUCUGCUCCUAGUACGAGAGGACCAGAGUGGACGAACCUCUGGUGUUUCGGUUGUCACGCCAGUGGCAUUGCCGAGUAGCUAUGUUCGGAUGGGAUAACCGCUGAAAGCAUCUAAGCGGGAAGCCCACCUCAAGAUGAGAUUUCCCUAAAGAGCCGUUGUAGACGACGACGUUGAUAGGUUGGGUGUGGAAGUGUAGUGAUACAUGUAGCUAACCAAUACUAAUUGCUCGUUUGGCUUGACCAUACAAUGCCUAA